GACGAACGCUGGCGGCGUGCUUAACACAUGCAAGUCGAACGGAAAGGCCCUGCUUUUGUGGGGUGCUCGAGUGGCGAACGGGUGAGUAACACGUGAGUAACCUGCCCUUGACUUUGGGAUAACUUCAGGAAACUGGGGCUAAUACCGGAUAGGAGCUCCUGCUGCAUGGUGGGGGUUGGAAAGUUUCGGCGGUUGGGGAUGGACUCGCGGCUUAUCAGCUUGUUGGUGGGGUAGUGGCUUACCAAGGCUUUGACGGGUAGCCGGCCUGAGAGGGUGACCGGCCACAGUGGGACUGAGAUACGGCCCAGACUACUACGGGAGGCAGCAGUGGGGAAUAGUGCACAAUGGGCGGAAGCCUGAUGCAGCAACGCCGCGUGCGGGAUGACGGCCUUCGGGUUGUAUACCGCUUUCGCCUGUGACGAAGCGUGAGUGACGGUAAUGGGUAAAGAAGCACCGGCUAACUACGUG
rnacentral:rRNA from 1 species